GCACAAGCGGAGGAGCAUGUGGUUUAAUUCGAUGAUACGCGAGGAACCUUACCUGGGCUCGAACGUAAGAUGACUGUAGGUGAAAGCUUACAUCUCUUCGGAGCAUUUUUACGAGGUGCUGCAUGGUUGUCGUCAGCUCGUGCCGUGAGGUGUCGGGUUAAGUCCCAUAACGAGCGCAACCCCUACCUUUAGUUGCCAUCAGGUUAAGCUGGGGACUCUAAAGGAACUGCCUACGCAAGUAGUGAGGAAGGCGGGGAUGACGUCAAAUCAGCACGGCCCUUACGUCCAGGGCUACACACGUGCUACAAUGGCCGAUACAGAGGGCAGCUACCUGGUGACAGGAUGCAAAUCUCCAAAGUCGGUCUCAGUUCGGAUCGGAGUCUGCAACCCGACUCCGUGAAGUUGGAUUCGCUAGUAAUCGCGCAUCAGCCAUGGCGCGGUGAAUACGUUCCCGGGCCUU
rnacentral:rRNA from 1 species